rnacentral:rRNA from 1 species
UGGGGAAUUUUGGACAAUGGGCGAAAGCCUGAUCCAGCAAUGCCGCGUGUGUGAAGAAGGCCUUCGGGUUGUAAAGCACUUUUGUCCGGAAAGAAAUCCUUGGCUCUAAUACAGUCGGGGGAUGACGGUACCGGAAGAAUAAGCACCGGCUAACUACGUGCCAGCAGCCGCGGUAAUACGUAGGGUGCAAGCGUUAAUCGGAAUUACUGGGCGUAAAGCGUGCGCAGGCGGUUUGCUAAGACCGAUGUGAAAUCCCCGGGCUCAACCUGGGAACUGCAUUGGUGACUGGCAGGCUAGAGUAUGGCAGAGGGGGGUAGAAUUCCACGUGUAGCAGGUGAAAUGCGUAGAGAUGUGGAGGAAUACCGAUGGCGAAGGCAGCCCCCUGGGCCAAUACUGACGCUCAUGCACGAAAGCGUGGGGAGCAAACAGGAUUAGAUACCCUGGUAGUCCACGCCCUAAACGAUGUCAACUAGUUGUGGGGAUUCAUUCCUUAGUAACGUAGCUAACGCGUGAAGUUGACCGCCUGGGGAGUACGGUCGCAAGAUUAAAACUUAAAUGAAUUGACGGGGUCAUAGCUGUUUCCU